rnacentral:sRNA from 1 species
CAGCUUGUUUCUGAACUUGAGGCAGAAAGAAAUGCUAACAUAGCUGCAGCUGCCAGACUUGUGAAACACUUUAAACUACUGUUUGUGAACUGAGCCACACUAGAUGUAAUUGAGAAGCUCAGCAAUCAGUCACAUCAGGAUGAGCUUGCACACCCAUGGUGAGGGAGAACCAGGCAGCUCUUAGUGAUGCUCCUGAAGCUAAGAGUAGGCUCACUGCCUAAACUAGCUACAGGAGCAGAAUCAGGAGUUUCCAAUGUGAAGCUUCUAACUCAAGAGAACAACUGAAGCUUUCAGGCCUGGGGCAGACAGCUGUGCUCAUGUGCCCCUGGAAGCCACGACGCUACCUUUGGCAGCAUGCGGUACUUCUUCAUCUCUGAGGAACCCAGAAAUAAGAGCCAGGAAGCAUGGAGGCUAGUGCAAAACAUGAAUCCUGAAAGCAUGCUAGAGAAGUCAGCACUGGCUACUGCAUCUUCAUCUCUUCCUUGCAAUGGUUCAGUCUCCAGCAAACCUUUAGGCAAAAUUGAUAAAACAGAAUGCAAUUUUUAAAGUGAAUUUAAACCAACUUCUGCUUCCAUAGUGUGGAGGACUAGAUGCACUGACAGACCCUCCCGCCGAAAAACAACU